GCCAGGUAUGGUGGCGCAUGCCUGUAAUCCCAGUUACUCGGGAGGCUGAGAUGGGAGAAUUGCUUGAACCUGGGAGGUGGAGGUUGCAGUGAGCCGAGAUCAUGCCACUGCACUCCAGCCUGGGUGACAGAGCAAGACUCCGUCUAAA
rnacentral:SRP_RNA from 1 species